rnacentral:rRNA from 1 species
GACGAACGCUGGCGGCGCGCCUAACACAUGCAAGUCGAACGAGCGAGAGAGAGCUUGCUUUCUCGAGCGAGUGGCGAACGGGUGAGUAACGCGUGAGGAACCUGCCUCAAAGAGGGGGACAACAGUUGGAAACGACUGCUAAUACCGCAUAAGCCCACGGCUCGGCAUCGAGCAGGGGGAAAAGGAGCAAUCCGCUUUGAGAUGGCCUCGCGUCCGAUUAGCUAGUUGGUGAGGUAACGGCCCACCAAGGCGACGAUCGGUAGCCGGACUGAGAGGUUGAACGGCCACAGUGGGACUGAGACACGGCCCAGACUCCUACGGGAAGCAGCAGUGGGGAAUAUUGCACAAUGGGGGAAACCCUGAUGCAGCGACGCCGCGUGGAGGAAGAAGGUCUUCGGAUUGUAAACUCCUGUUGUUGGGGAAGAUAAUGACGGUACCCAACAAGGAAGUGACGGCUAACUACGUG